GCUCGAGCUCGGCGCGGACCCGCCCGGGACCGCUCCUCAGCAGCAGAAGCCUGGCUCCCACCGCCCUCCCCGGCCCCGGCGAUCCAGCUACCUCGGAGGGCACACUCAAACACCCGGAGGUCCGGCCACCUCAGAGGGUGCACUGGGCACCCUGUGUUCCUACCACACGGCUAGGCUAGGCGCGCUGGCCACUCGGGUGGGCGUGCUGGGCUUCCCUGCGGCGGCAGUCUGGACCACAGCGUGCGACUCCCCUUCUAGCAGUAGGUGUUCUGACAUAUGACUGCUGCCCUUCUGCCCGAGAGUAGUUCAAACUAAUCUCUUACUGAACCUGGAACUCACUGAUUGAGCUACAGUUGCUGUUGAGAAGUCCCCAGGAACCUCUUGUCUUCCACCCCUCAACAUUGAUAAUACAGCAGCACUGCGAGGAGCACCGGUGGAGCUGCUGUCCCAGAACCUGCCAGCAUCGGCUCAGGUACUGCAGAGUUGACCCCUCCUUCAUCGGCCACUCCAGAGACCUCUGACAUGGUGUAGUGGGAC
rnacentral:lncRNA from 1 species